GGGUCAGUAGGUUGGUCGUGCCACCGGUACGUACUGGUCUCACUGAUUCCUCCUUCCUGAAGAACCGUAAUGCCAUUAAUUUGGUGUUGCGGGGAAACAGGACUGUUACUUUGAAAAAAUUAGAGUGUUUAAAGCAAGCUAACGCUUGAAUAAAUUAGCAUGGAAUAAUGGAAUAGGACGAUCGAUCCUAUUUUGUUGGUUUCUAGGAUUGACGUA
rnacentral:rRNA from 1 species